rnacentral:sRNA from 1 species
GCUGGGUGUGGUGGUGCACACCUGUGAUCCCAAUAGCUCGGGAGGCUGAGGCAGGAGGACUGCAAGUUCAGAGCCAACCUCAGCAACCGCAAGGUGCUCAGCAACUCAGUGAGACCCUGUCUCUA